GACGAACGCUGGCGGCGUGCCUAACACAUGCAAGUCGAACGAGAAUCUUUGAACAGAUCUUUUCGGAGUGACGUUCAAAGAGGAAAGUGGCGGACGGGCGAGUAACGCGUGAGUAACCUGCCCAUAAGAGGGGGAUAAUCCAUGGAAACGUGGACUAAUACCGCAUAUUGUAGUUAAGUUGCAUGACUUGAUUAUAAAAGAUUUAUCGCUUAUGGAUGGACUCGCGUCAGAUUAGAUAGUUGGUGAGGUAACGGCUCACCAAGUCAACGAUCUGUAGCCGAACUGAGAGGUUGAUCGGCCGCAUUGGGACUGAGACACGGCCCAGACUCCUACGGGAGGCAGCAGUGGGGAAUAUUGCGCAAUGGGGGCAACCCUGACGCAGCAACGCCGCGUGCAGGAAGAAGGUCUUCGGAUUGUAAACUGUUGUCGCAAGGGAAGAAGACAGUGACGGUACCU
rnacentral:rRNA from 1 species